CGCUGGCGGCGUGCCUAAUACAUGCAAGUCGAGCGAACAGAAGGAGCUUGCUCCCGGAUGUUAGCGGCGGACGGGUGAGUAACACGUGGGUAACCUGCCUGUAAGACUGGGAUAACUCCGGGAAACCGGAGCUAAUACCGGAUAGUUCCUUGAACCGCAUGGUUCAAGGAUGAAAGACGGUUUCGGCUGUCACUUACAGAUGGACCCGCGGNGCAUUAGCUAGUUGGUGGGGUAAUGGCUCACCAAGGCGACGAUGCGUAGCCGACCUGAGAGGGUGAUCGGCCACACUGGGACUGAGACACGGCCCAGACUCUACGGGAGGCAGCAGUAGGGAAUCUUCCGCAAUGGACGAAAGUCUGACGGAGCAACGCCGCGUGAGUGAUGAAGGUUUUCGGAUCGUAAAGCUCUGUUGUUAGGGAAGAACAAGUGCGAGAGUAACUGCUCGCACCUUGACGGUACCUAACCAGAAAGCCACGGCUAACUACGUGCCAGCAGCCGCGGUAAUACGUAGGUGGCAAGCGUUGUCCGGAAUUAUUGGGCGUAAAGGGCUCGCAGGCGGUUUCUUAAGUCUGAUGUGAAAGCCCGGCUCAACCGGGGAGGGUCAUUGGAAACUGGGAAACUUGAGUGCA
rnacentral:rRNA from 2 species